GACGAACGCUGGCGGCGUGCCUAAUACAUGCAAGUUGAGCGCUGAAGGUUGGUACUUGUACCGACUGGAUGAGCAGCGAACGGGUGAGUAACGCGUGGGGAAUCUGCCUUUGAGCGGGGGACAACAUUUGGAAACGAAUGCUAAUACCGCAUAAAAACUUUAAACACAAGUUUUAAGUUUGAAAGAUGCAAUUGCAUCACUCAAAGAUGAUCCCGCGUUGUAUUAGCUAGUUGGUGAGGUAAAGGCUCACCAAGGCGAUGAUACAUAGCAGACCUGAGAGGGUGAUCGGCCACAUUGAGACUGAGACACGGCCCAAACUCCUACGGGAGGCAGCAGUAGGGAAUCUUCGGCAAGGGGCGAAAGUCUGACCGAGCAACGCCGCGUGAGUGAAGAAGGUUGUCGGAUCGUAAAACUCUGUUGGUAGAGAAGAACGUUGGUGAGAGUGGAAAGCUCAUCAAGUGACGGUAACUACCCAGAAAGGGACGGCUAACUACGUG
rnacentral:rRNA from 1 species